UCCUUAUCACUGGCCCAAUUUCUUCUAUAUUCUUACCCAAAAAAAAAAUUCUUCUCUAUUUGCAGACCUGGGCCUGGGCCUGGGCCUAUCUUCUUGAAUAUUUUUUCUUUUUUUGCUGGGAAUCUUCUUGGAACUUCACUUGUUGUGCAGCAUGCCAGAACCUUUACAAUCCUCGCAGCAGAUCAACAGGAGAAAAAAAAGAUUUCAAUCCAAUGCUUUUAGGAUGAUUGGUAGCCAUCUCUGACCGUCCAAUGGUUUUGGCAUGGUUUCGGCCUUUACCGGGAUGUGACGUCAUGUCUGCUUCUGAGAGUAUUUUAUUCUUCCUACCAAAAAAAAAGUAUUUUAUUCUUACUUUCCUUUGUGUUUUGGUAGACUUUUUAUUCUGCCAUCCUGUUCCGCAAUUCUACAGAACAGAACUGCGGAAUUGGGUCUCUUGGAUAAACGAAGUAGGGUUUCAUUUGAUCGAAGUGUGGGAAGAUGCCUGUAGGAACAGCAUCAGGAUCAGGUAUGUUCAAAUUCCUUCGGCCUGGUCUUCGUCCUCAGUCAACUGACAUUCAAGCUGCGGUCACCUGGGGAUUCGCCGCUGCUACGGGAGCUCUUUAUCUGAUCCAGCCAUUCGAUUGGAUCAAGAAGAAAUUUUUUGAGAAACCUCAAGAGCAACAAUGAUUAAAGAUGCAGCAGAUUCCAGAAUCCCUGUUUAACAGUUUGCAAUGGGAUGGUAUGUUUCUGAGGAGAGAACUGUGUAGAAAGCCAGUUUAUGUGAAUAAUGCAUCUUGAAUUUUGUUGUUUGUAUUUUCAUUUGGAGGGCUUGUGGGAUGAUACUGAGGAAGCCCAGACUUAAUUUGCAGUUCUUCAAGUUCUACUGUUUUCUCUUUGCCAACUUAUUCUUUUAAAGAGUGCAAUCCAUGGCUUUUCCUA